rnacentral:rRNA from 1 species
GAUGAACGCUGGCGGCGUGCCUAAUACAUGCAAGUCGAGCGAACAGACGAGGAGCUUGCUUCUCUGACGUUAGCGGCGGACGGGUGAGUAACACGUGGAUAACCUACCUAUAAGACUGGGAUAACUUCGGGAAACCGGAGCUAAUACCGGAUAAUAUAUUGAACCGCAUGGUUCAAUAGUGAAAGACGGUUUUGCUGUCACUUAUAGAUGGAUCCGCGCCGCAUUAGCUAGUUGGUAAGGUAACGGCUUACCAAGGCAACGAUGCGUAGCCGACCUGGGAGGGUGAUCGGCCACACUGGAACUGAGACACGGUCCAGACUCCUACGGGAGGCAGCAGUAGGGAAUCUUCCGCAAUGGGCGAAAGCCUGACGGAGCAACGCCGCGUGAGUGAUGAAGGUCUUCGGAUCGUAAAACUCUGUUAUUAGGGAAGAACAAAUGUGUAAGUAACUAUGCACGUCUUGACGGUACCUAAUCAGAAAGCCACGGCUAACUACGUG